GACAGAGGGUGCAAACGUUGUUCGGAAUUACUGGGCGUAAAGCGUGUGUAGGCGGCUUUGUAAGUUAGAGGUGAAAGCCCAGGGCUUAACCCUGGAAUUGCCUUUAAGACUGCAUCGCUAGAAUUGUGGAGAGGUAAGUGGAAUUCCGAGUGUAGAGGUGAAAUUCGUAGAUAUUCGGAAGAACACCAGUGGCGAAGGCGACUUACUGGACACAUAUUGACGCUGAGGUGCGAAAGCGUGGGGAGCGAACAGG
rnacentral:rRNA from 1 species